UUGAAACCCUAGAUUUGCUAAAAAAAAAUUCCCAAUAGCAAAUUUUGUCUUAUUUCUUACAUUAAACUGCUAUCUAAAGUAACUUUUUAAAAUGUACUUUUGAGUUAGGCAGACUUUAUCGUUUACUUGCAGACAAGUUGCUUCACUCCGUUUCCUCUUUGGAGAAAUGAGGUUGAUGCCUAAUUCACAGAGUCGCUGGGAGGAUCAGGUGAGGUCAGGGGCCUAGUAGGGCUCCAGCUUCACCAUAGGCACUUUAUAAAUGUUUUCUUCUAUUUUCUUUUCCUCCAGCUUUAUUGAGAUCUUAUAUUUUAAAUCCUGAAAAAUGUAAUAUACUAUGUAUUUUAUACAUCAAGGCCUGAGAAUUCUCUUCUAAGUAAAGAGCAUAAGCAGUUUGGGACUCUUCACCCAACUCCUGUUUUGUUGCUCUGCCAUUUUCAAGAACCUCUGGGUUCCUGCUCAUGGUUCAUGAUGGCUGCUUCAGCUGUUGCCAACAUAUCUGUGUCCAAAUGAUCAAGAAGAGAGAAACGGACAAGGGUGAGACAUGACCACUAACAGCACGAUCUGCAAGACGCACAAAUUAUUUUUGCUUUUGUCCUGAACUUAGUCACAUGACCUGCAAGAGAGACUUGAAUAUGUCAUCUUUAGCUAUGUGACUGUGUACCUAGUUACGCUCCAGCUGCUCUGUUACUCAAGAAAGGGACGGUGAAUAUUGGGAGACAAGCAGGAGACUCUGCCACAGACUCAGAGAGAUAACCCAUUGUCCUAUCUAUGGCCUGCUGGCAGUGUUUUCAGAGAAAAGACUUGGUAGAUUUCCCAUCACACUCAUAAACACUCAGAGCUAUCGUAGCCUUCAAGAUUCCUGCAUAUCCCCGACUCUACCCUCAUCUAAAGUAGCGUCCCUAAACCACUCUGCUAUUCUCUUACCCUGUUUUCCCUCAUAGCAUUUACCACUACAUAUCACUAUAUAUUAUGUUUAUUGUUUGUCUUCUGCCCUAGAAUGAGUUCUCUGAAGGCAGAGACUUUGUUGUGUUGAUUACUACCUCCCGUGAACCUAGAAAAAUGCUUACUACUACAUGGUAAGCAGUCAGUAAUUGCAGCAUGAAUGAAUGUCCUUUCUCCCAACACUGACAGUGACUUGAGCAUAUUUAUUCCAUUAUUCAUGUAUUCAGUCCUUAUUUACAUGUACUAUGAGUAAACCACUAUGCUACAUAGUUUGAGGAGUAAAAAGUCUGGUUGCUUAUGAUUCCACUCUCAAUCUUAGUCUAGCAUGGGGAUUCUGGUUCAAAAUGGUGACAGGAAGAUCUUGAACUCACCUCCUCCCAUGGACACACUGAGCCUACAGCUACAUGUGGAAUAAUUUCCUCUUUAGAAAAUGGGAAGGCUGGCUGAGUGAUGUCUACCCAUUGGGUGAAUGAGAAGAAAAGCAUGUCAAAGAGGGUAGGAGAGGCUGGGACACAGUUUCACCAUAAAUCCCACCCCCAGCGUGGUGACCCACAGUCGGGAGGGAACUCAAAGCCAGAGCUUCUCCCUGAGGAGCAAAGAGUUCAAACCCCACAUAGGUCACCCCAACUUAUAAGACCUGCUCUUGUGGGACAAGCCCCCAAAACAUAUAACUUUGAAAACGAACAGGGCUCACAUCCCACUAUCCACAAGAUUAUAGCUAUCUGGGAAGUGGUUCAGACUCACCUGCCCCAGGGUGCAGCUCAGAGGCAGCCAGUCACGCCCAGACUUAAAGUGAAGGAGGCUCACCUGCUUAUAUUAAAGCAUCAGCCUGAGGGCCAGGCAUGUAAUUUACCACAUACAUCUAGGAGCCUGCUGGAGCACUCUCUGGGGCCUGGCUGGCACCAUCUUUGCACUCUCCCUUUGCCAUGCUCCAAAGCACCAGUAUCUCCCAGAAGGGAGCUUUGCAAGUGUCUGGUGCCCCAACUUUUACAGCUGCUGCCCAGGGGACGACUCUUGAUCACCUGGUUUUGGAGGCCAGGGGGACUUGCAUCCCUAGCCCCAUGGAACUGUAACAAUCAGUGUCACCCAGAAAGAAGCUUAUGUCCUUGUCUGGCACCCCGAAUUUUAUGGUUGCUGCCAGGGGACACCUACAUCACCUUGGUCUGGUGGCCAGUGAGGCUUACGCCUGUGGGUCACACAGGAUUGUAACCAAUGGAGAAAGCUACUCCCCCCAGGUAGACAGCUACUACCCCCAGGGCAGGGGGCAAGACGCAAGAGCUCGGUCGUUCUCUCAAGGAGGCCUGUUAAACAGCUAAUCAUCCUGGCUGCAGCCUAAGGGAGAGGCUUCUAAUUAAACACACAUCUAGAGGCUGUCAGUAAUUUUUCCAGAGACCUCAGAAGACAGAUGCUGUAUUCACAUUCCCUGUCUGCUGAGCUCCAGAGUGCCAGUGUCUCCUGUAGAGGAGCUUUACAUGUGUCUCGUGUCCCAGUUUUUGAGGCUGCCGCCCAGGGAACACACCACGAUCCCCUGGCUCUGGAGGCUGGGAGUUUGCAUUCCUGGGUCCCACAGGACUGUGGCAAUUGGAGAGACAGUUCUUGGCAAGCUACCACGUCCAGCGCACUGCACACACAGCAGACCGAGGCAUACUCCCCAGUCUUUCUGUGAAGGAGGCCUCUUUACUAGUCCUGGAGCUUCCACUUGAAGGGGCAUGCAUCGGGUUUGGCACAUAUCUAGUGGCCUACACAGCUGCUCUCAAGGAACAGGUUAUGGACACCAUCUUGGCACUCUCCCUCUGCUUUGCUCCAGCUCAACAUUAUCUCCCAGAAAAGAGCUUAUACACUCAUCUGGAACCCCAAUUUUUGUGACUGCUGCCCAGGGGACACCUCCAGAUCACCUGGGUCUGGUGGCCAGUGGGGCUUAUGCUUUUGGUCCCACAGGACUUAUAUAUUUGCAUACUUUUAAAAGCUGCUGUCUGAGGGUCUCCCAAUCAGCCUGAAUCUAGGUGCUGCAGUUCUCCCCUUAGGACACUGACAGGUCUUGGCACAUCCUCAGCUACUGGGAGCUAUUAAGAAUAUAAUAUGCUGCUUGUAUAAGCACAAAGGUUUGAGAGACAAGCAAGAGCUAGGGCAGAGUUGAAAGACAAGUUUAUCACCUACAUGAGGCUACUCUUUCAAGCCUGGGAGAGGUAGUUGUUUCAUCUACUGUAUAGAAACCAACGCAGAGAGUCAAGCAACAUGAAGAAACAAAGGAAUAUGUUUCAAAUGAAAGAAUAAGGUAAAACUUCAGGAAAAAACCUUAAUGAAACAAAGAUAAGUAAUGUACCUGACGGAGAGUUGAAAGUAACAGUUAUGACAAUGCUCACCAAACUGGGGAGACGAAUGGAUGAACACAAUGAGAAAACAAAAAGAUAGAAAAUGUAAGACAGUACCAGAUAGCCAGCCCUGGUGGUCUAGUGGUUAAGAUUCGGCACUCUCACUGCCAUGGCCUGGGUUUGUUUCGUGGUCAGAGAACCACACCACCUGUGUGUUGGUUCUCAUACUAUGGCAGCUGUCUGGUGCUGUGAUGCUGGAAGCUAUGCCACCAGUAUUUCAAAUACCAGCAGGGUCACCCAUGGUGGACAGGUUUCAGUGGAGUUUCCAGAGUAGGACAGACUAGUAAGAAGGACUUGGCCAUCCACUUCUGAAAACAUUGGCCAUGAAAACCUCAUGAAAGGCAGCAGAGCAUUGCCUGAUACAGCACCAAAAAGUGAGAGGGUGGCACAAAGUCUGUCAGGGUUCUGCUCUGCUGUACGCAAGGUCACUAAGAGUCACAGUUGACUUGAUGGCACUAACAACAAACCAAAUAGAAGUCACAGAGCUGAAGAACACAAUAACUGAACUGAAAAAUACACUACAGAAGUUCAACAGCAGACUAGAUGAAGCAGAAGAGUCAGUGAACUCAAAGACAAGGCAGUGGACCUCACCCAAUCAGAUCAGCAAAAAGAA